GCUUUGCUAGCUCAAUCGGUAGAGUGUAAGACUCUUAUAUAGUCCCUCUGACCGAGUAAGAGUAUUAAGAUCGCGGCUUCGAAUCCCGCAUGAGGCU